AUACUGUGCAAAAAGAAAAACAAGUUUAUUGCGCUAUUAUCACGCAAAACUCUUCAAAAUAAAGUAUAAAAGCGGCGAAGCUAUCUUUCCGCUUGUCACUAAAAUGUUGCUUUUAGUUAUAUUUUCUACUUUCCUGAAUUAUUGUUUAGCUGCCAGCGUUCAAUGGAGCGAAGUCUGGUUUUUGGUAUCUUUGAGCUACAAAAAUCACCGCAAUUUUUGUAGCGGAUCUCUGGUGCUUAAUAAGAGAACUAUUCUUACAGCUGCUUCUUGUAUGACAAAGCUUGAGGAUAACAUACAAUACAAAGAUAUUGAAGUCCACCUUAACGGUUAUCCACCGACGUAUACAGUGCGAAAUUUUCUAGUACAUCCCCAGUUCGACGUCAGCAAACCUGGCAUCAACGACCUUGCUUUACUCUACUUGAAACAACCCGCCGUAUUUAACAUCCUUUUCAGCAUUUUCACGUUCACUCUUGCCAAACCAAUUCAUUUGAGUUCAGUAAGUCAAAAUGCUGUUGUUGUGGCAGUUGAAUUGAACGCUGACAGAAAAAUGGUUUAUAACAGGGAGAUAAGAGUUGUUAGUUCUGAAAAGAAUUUUUGCGAGAGUACUGAGAGUACCAUUUGUGCUCUAGAUAAUACAACAGGCAACUACUGCGGCAAAAAUUUCGGGGGGCCAGUUAUAGAUAAAAAAUCGAAAACUAUUGUUGGUAUUAUUCCUUAUAAUACUAAAGCAAAUUGUUCGACAGGACACGCCGAACAGUUUGUAAGGCUGUCAAACUACAAAGACUGGAUUGAAAGUGAACUUAAGAAAUUAGCUUGGUUUAACUCUCCCCAAGACAAAUUUCGAUUUUAAUAUAAUACAUAUGGUAUUAGAUUCCCAACCUUGAAACAAACGAAACCAUUUUAAUUUUAAUGUCUGUGAAUGAAAUGUUUCAUUUAUAGCAAGUUUAUAACAUUUUCGAAUGAGCAAUAAAGAACACAUGCUUAUAAAAAAACUCGAAUCUUUUUAAUUUGGUACCAAAGUUACCUUUAUGUUACAAUAAAAAACGCACUUUAUGCACAAUACACCUCAAAGGCAAUUCAAAUUUUUACGAAAAUGUUGCUUAUAACGUUAUUUCUGUCUCUAUUGAGUUCUUGUUUGUCAGAAAUUGUAAAAUUGAGCGAAUAUCCUUACAUAGCAACUUUGAGCUAUGGAAGUGACCGUAGUGUUUGUGGUGGAGCUUUUGUGAGCGAAAGAGUUUUUCUAACAGCUGCAUCAUGCAUGUCAGGUCUAAAAUUAACACAAGUGAUUUCGGAAAUGUACGUUGAAAGCUUCCCAAACAAGUACAAAGUUCAAGACCUUGUAAAGCAUCCAGACUUUGAGGAAGACAGUUGUGAUUCACCCGAUCUUGCUUUACUCUACUUAAAAAAGUCCACAAUAUUUAGCAUUAUUUUAAGUAUUGUGAGCCUUAAACCGAAUUUACCCAUUUACAUAGGUGCAGUUAGUCAAAACGCUGUUGUUUCUGCAUUUUACGUAGAUUCUGGAGCCAGACAUGCAUACAAGAAAGAUCUGCUAACUGUUACUUCCGAAGAAGGAUUUUGUGAUAGUACUGACGGUACUUUUUGCGCUAAAAACGUACACCCAAGCAACCCCUGUGUUAACACGUUUGGCGGACCAGUUGUAAAUAGCGAUAAAGAGUUGGUUGGAAUAAUUCCCUAUGAUGCUGAAUGUACGUCAUGUCAUGCUGAACAAUUCAUAAGAAUAUCAUAUUAUAAAGAGUGGAUGAAAAAAACAAUUAAAAAAUUUACUUAAACAUAUCAUAAUUUCAGAUCUUGCCAGCUGUGCUUGAAAUAAACUGUUUUCCAACGUA